UUAGAGGAAGUAAAAGUCGUAACAAGGUCUCCGUAGGUGAACCUGCGGAGCUUGGAUCGUUAUUGCAGAGUUUUUGACUCCUCAAUAAUGCCAUGUGAACUUACCAUUGUUUCCUUGGUGGAAGGUAUCCGUUAGGGUGCUGGAAGCCGGUGGACAUUCUAGCCUCUUGUUAAUUUUGAUUAAUUCUGCAAAAUGCAAACUAAGCAAUCAGUUAAAACUAGGUUCAACAACGGAUCUCUUGGUUCUGGCAUCGAUGACAGAACGCAUCGUAAUGCGCUAAGUGAUGUGAAUUGCAUAAUUCAGAUGAAUCGUCUUAUCUUUGAACGCACAUUGCGCCCAUUAGUAUUCUAUUGGGCAUGCCUGUUCGAGCGUCGUUUCAACCCUUAAGCCUAGCUUAGUGUUGGGAGACUGCCUAAUACGCAGCUCCUCGAAACCAGUGGCAGAGUUUUUACGUACUCUGAGCGCAGUAAUUCUAUUCUCGCUUUUGAACACGUCUAGACGAUAGCCAAGAACCGCUUGCUUCGGCAGCACUUUUUUAAUGGUUGACCUCGGAUCAGGUAGGACUACCCGCUGAACUUAAGCAUAUCAUG
rnacentral:rRNA from 1 species